GCGGAUAUGGCGGAAUCGGCAGACGCGCUAGAUUCAGGUUCUAGAGGUAGCAAUACCGUGUGUGUUCAAGUCACAUUAUCCGCACCA
rnacentral:tRNA from 1 species